ACAAUACUCCUUAAAGUUAUAGUUCACCAUAGUCUUGCAAGUAAGUUAAACUCAAGCUCAGCCAAGCAUCAGUAACCAGUUAAAUUAACCAGUUAAAUCAUUUAUCGAGUUAAGUGUCAUCAUUUAGUCCAAUUCAGUGUAUUUUGAAUUACCGUUUUCGUAGCUGCGCGCGCCGUAGACCCGCGUAGCCGUGCUACGCGCUCAGUUGAACCGCGCCGGCCGCCUGAGUGCUACGACCGCUCGGCGCUACGAUCGGGAACGAGAACGGUGACAGUUUUGCAGUGCGUUUAGUGUUGUGGUGUGUUUUGUGAACGGAGUGAUUAUUUAGGUGAAUAACGGCAGCCAUGCGUGUGGCGAUCAACAAUGAACAACGCAAUAAAAGUUAAAAUAUUGUGUAAACGUGAUUAAAAAAUACCAGUAUGUGUAUGAAAAGUGCGAAGAGCUCACGAGAAUUUAAAUAUAAGUAAACUCGUAAUAAAUGUUGAAAAUGGGUGUGUGUCAGCUGAUGCUGGUGUUACUUCUGGGCUGGAUAACGGACACAAAAGCCCUAAAAGACGUCCAACUAAUAGCGCCAUCUGCCGUCCGCCUCGGCGACGAGGUGCAACUUGGCUGCAAGUGGACGCUGGAGGGGAAUGAGACCCUUUACAGUGUGAAGUGGUAUCGGGGCAGGC